rnacentral:rRNA from 1 species
GACGAACCGUGCGAACGUUAUUCGGAAUCACUGGGCUUAAAGCGCGUGUAGGCGGGACGGCACGUCGGUCGCUGAAAUCCCCCGGCUUAACCGGGGAACGGGCGCCGAUACGACCGGCCUGGAGGGACGUAGGGGGACCUGGAACUUCCGGUGGAGCGGUGAAAUGCGUUGAGAUCGGAAGGAACGCCCGUGGCGAAAGCGAGGUCCUGGACGUUUUCUGACGCUGAGACGCGAAAGCCAGGGGAGCGAACGGG